AACGAACGCUGGCGGCAGGCUUAACACAUGCAAGUCGAGCGCCUCGCAAGGGGAGCGGCAGACGGGUGAGUAACGCGUGGGAACGUACCCUUUGCUACGGAAUAGCUCCGGGAAACUGGAAUUAAUACCGUAUGUGCCCUACGGGGGAAAGAUUUAUCGGCAAAGGAUCGGCCCGCGUUGGAUUAGCUAGUUGGUGGGGUAAUGGCCUACCAAGGCGACGAUCCAUAGCUGGUCUGAGCGGAUGAUCAGCCACAUUGGGACUGAGACACGGCCCAAACUCCUACGGGAGGCAGCAGUGGGGAAUAUUGGACAAUGGGCGCAAGCCUGAUCCAGCCAUGCCGCGUGAGUGAUGAAGGCCUUAGGGUUGUAAAGCUCUUUCACCGGAGAAGAUAAUGACGGUAUCCGGAGAAGAAGCCCCGGCUAACUUCGUGCCAGCAGCCGCCGUAAUAC
rnacentral:rRNA from 1 species